UACGUAGGUGGCAAGCGUUGUCCGGAAUUAUUGGGCGUAAAGCGCGCGCAGGCGGCUUCUUAAGUCUGAUGUGAAAUCUCGGGGCUCAACCCCGAGCGGCCAUUGGAAACUGGGAAGCUUGAGUACAGAAGAGGAGAGUGGAAUUCCACGUGUAGCGGUGAAAUGCGUAGAUAUGUGGAGGAACACCAGUGGCGAAGGCGACUCUCUGGUCUGUAACUGACGCUGAGGCGCGAAAGUGUGGGUAGCAAACAGG
rnacentral:rRNA from 1 species